rnacentral:rRNA from 1 species
CCUACGGGAGGCAGCAGUGGGGAAUAUUGCACAAUGGGGGAAACCCUGAUGCAGCAACGCCGCGUGCGUGAAGAAGUCUUUCGGUAUGUAAAGCUCUAUCAGCAGGGACGAAGAUGACGGUACCUGAGUAAGAAGCCCCGGCUAACUACGUGCCAGCAGCCGCGGUAAUACGUAGGGGGCAAGCGUUAUCCGGAUUUACUGGGUGUAAAGGGAGCGUAGACGGUGAGACAAGUCAGAGGUGAAAGCUCGGGGCUCAACCCCGGGACUGAUUUGGAAACUGCCUGACUGGAGUGCUGGAGAGGCAGGCGGAAUGCCUAGUGUAGCGGUGAAAUGCGUAGAUAUUAGGAAGAACACCAGUUGCGAAGGCGGCUUGCUAGACAGUAACUGACGUUGAUGCACGAAAGCGUGGGGAGCAAACAGGAUGAGAUACCCUUGUAGUC